rnacentral:rRNA from 1 species
UACGUAGGGUGCGAGCGUUGUCCGGAAUUAUUGGGCGUAAAGAGCUCGUAGGCGGUGUGUCGCGUCGGUCGUGAAAACUUGGGGCUUAACCCUGAGCUUGCGGUCGAUACGGGCAUCACUGGAGUUCGGCAGGGGAGACUGGAAUUCCUGGUGUAGCGGUGAAAUGCGCAGAUAUCAGGAGGAACACCGGUGGCGAAGGCGGCACUCUGGGCUGGAACUGACGCUGAGGAGCGAAAGCGUGGGUAGCAAACAGG